AGAGUUUGAUCCUGGCUCAGGAUGAACGCUAGCGGCAGGCCUAACACAUGCAAGUCGAGGGGCAGCAUAAAAAUAGCUUGCUAUUUUGGUGGCGACCGGCGCACGGGUGCGUAACGCGUAUGCAAUCUACCUUGUACUGGGGUAUAGCCCGAAGAAAUUCGGAUUAAUCCCCCAUAAUACUAAUAUACUUCAUGGUAAUUUAGUUAAAGUUUCGGCGGUAUGAGAUGAGCAUGCGUCCUAUUAGCUUGAUGGUAAGGUAACGGCUUACCAUGGCUACGAUAGGUAGGGGGCCUGAGAGGGUGACCCCCCACACUGGUACUGAGACACGGACCAGACUCCUACGGGAGGCAGCAGUGAGGAAUAUUGGUCAAUGGGCGCAAGCCUGAACCAGCCAUGCCGCGUGCAGGAAGAAUGCCCUAUGGGUUGUAAACUGCUUUUAUUUAGGAAUAAACCUUUCUACGUGUAGAAAGCUGAAGGUACUGAAUGAAUAAGCACCGGCUAACUCCGUGCCAGCAGCCGCGGUAAUACGGAGGGUGCAAGCGUUAUCCGGAAUCAUUGGGUUUAAAGGGUCCGCAGGCGGGCGUAUAAGUCAGUGGUGAAAUCCUGCAGCUUAACUGCAGAACUGCCAUUGAUACUGUACGUCUUGAAUUCGGUCGAAGUGGGCGGAAUGUGUAGUGUAGCGGUGAAAUGCAUAGAUAUUACACAGAACACCGAUAGCGAAGGCAGCUCACUAGGCCUGGAUUGACGCUCAGGGACGAAAGCGUGGGGAUCAAACAGGAUUAGAUACCCUGGUAGUCCACGCCGUAAACUAUGAUUACUCGUUUUCGGCGAUAUACAGUCGGAGACUAAGCGAAAGUGAUAAGUAAUCCACCUGGGGAGUACGAUCGCAAGGUUGAAACUCAA
rnacentral:rRNA from 1 species